rnacentral:rRNA from 24 species
CACCAGGUUGAUUCUGCCUGACGUCCCCGCUAGUCUCUGAGAUUAAGCCAUGCAUGUCUAUGGAACAAGGACGAACAGCUCAGUAAAACUGCGAUGAUUCAGUCUGUCUGUCAAGAUAACCACGCGAAAGUGUGGCUAAGAGGGGACAGAACAAGACGCAGGACUAUCAGUUAGUUGGUAGUGUAAUGGACUACCAAGACGGUGACGGUUGACGGGGAAUGAGGGUUCUAUACCGGAGAGGGAGCCUGAGAGAUAGCUCCCACGUCCAAGGACGGCAGCAGGCGCGAAAAUUGCCCACUGUUUGGAGGAGGCAGUUAUGAGACGUGAGAAAGAGUGCUUGGUAAAGAGAAGCAGGAGAAUUGGAGGGCAAGUUUGGUGCCAGCAGCCGCGGUAAUACCGACUCCAAGAGUGUGUAUGAGAGAUGCUGCAGUUAAAAAGUCCGUAGUCGUGGAGACGGAAAGAGAGGCGGAGCCUCUUUGAGAUGCUCUGGAGAAGCCAACAGGGGGCACAGUACACCAGGGCGAGAGAUGAAAUGCCAAGACCCCUGGUGGACUGAGCGAGGCGAAAGCGGUGCUCUUGUGGGGUGUUCGGUGAUCAAGGACGAAAGCUUGGAGGGAUCGAAAGUGAUUGAUACCGCUGUAGUUCCAGCAGUAAAAGAUGCCGACAUGCUCUGUGGCAACACGGGGCAGGGAGAAAUCUUAGAGUUCGGGCUCUGGGGAUAGUAUGCUCGCAAGGGUGAAAAUUAAAGAAAUUGACGGAGCUACACCACAAGGAGUGGAUUGUGCGGCUUAAUUUGACUCAACGCGAGGAAGCUUACCAGGGCCAAGUGCUGUGGAGAAAGGAGCAGGACAGAAGUGGUGCAUGGUCGUUGGAAAUUGAUGGGAUGACUUUGGCCUUAAAUGGCUGAAUGAGUGAGAUCUUUGGACAUGUUCCCACAGGAACAGGAAGGGGAGGCUAUAACAGAUCAGAGAUGCCCUUAGAUGCCCUGGGCUGCACGCGCAAUACAAUAGCACGUAGACGUAGAGAACAACACGUGCUGAGGUGGACUGUGCUCUGCAAGGGGCACACGAAAGAGGAAUUCCUAGUAAGCGCCCAUCACCAGUGGGCGUUGAGUCAGUCCCUGUAGCUUGUACACACCGUCCGUCACUAUCUCAGAUGUUUUUCGGGAUGAAGAGUCCAGGCUCUGAAUAACGGAAAGUAGAUAAGAUGUAAGUCGUAGCAAGGUUGCGGUCGAUGAACCAUUAGCAGGAUCAUAA